AUGGCGGCCGCGAUUGGGUGGCUGGUUGAGACCAUCUCUGCGACCCUCCAAAUCGACAAGCUCGACGCCUGGAUUCGGCAAGUCGGUCUUGCCGAUGACAUCGAGAAGCUCAAGUCGGAGAUCCGGAGAGUCAACAUAGUGGUCACUGCUGCCAAGGGCAGGGGGGUAGGGAGCGAGCUGCUGGAUGGACCUUUCGCUCUUCUGGAGGAGCGGCUCUAUGAAGCCGACGACGUGGUCGACGAGCUCGACUACUACAGGCUCCAACACCAAGUCCAAGGUCUGCCGGCACCUGCAGAUCCAAGCGAGCCAGUCCCACUCCCAGUCCCAGGAGUUACAAGGGGUGAGCCCGAAGGCGUGCUUGUAGCUGAGCAAUUCAAUGAGAUAUCGAGGGGCGGUGGUGAUGUACCACAGAGCAAUGUUGGCAAAUUACGGUCCGUGGUAUGGGAACACUUUAUGAUCACAGAAAGAGAUAACGGAAAACCCAACAAGGCAGUAUGCCGACACUGUAGCAAUGAGUUUAAGUGUGACACCAAGACGAACGGUACAUCAUCUAUGAAAAAGCAUUUGGAGAAUGAGCAUUCUGUGACUUGUACAAAGAAACCUCCUGGAGCACAUCUACCAAACCCUUCAAGCACCGGUGAGCCUACUAUAAUUGCCAGCUCAUCCAGCAAAAAACGAAAGAGACGACGGUCCAAGGCAUGGGAAUUUUUUGAUGUCAUAGAAGAAGUAAACGAACAGCCUAUGAAAGCAAGAUGUAAAUACUGUCCCGCAGAGAUCAAGUGCGGCCCAACAAGUGGGACAGCAGGUAUGCUCAACCAUAACAAGAUUUGUAAGAACAAACCUGGACCAAAUGACCAGUUGCCAAACCUGUCAAGCACCGGUGAUGCUAAUGCGGAUGUGACGCCAAUUCUAAUAGGUAACUCGUCCACCAGAAAAGGGAGAAUGGAUGAUUCCAUACAAAUUGAUGUGACUAACACAGUCACCCCUUGGGACAUGGCCGAAUUAUCCAGCAGGAUACGAAAAAUAGCUAGUCAGUUGCAAUACAUCCAAGAGGAAACGACUGAAAUUCUCAAGCUACAUGGAUCGGACUCUACUUCAAGUUCAGAUCAUCACCAGAGUACAACAUCAUAUCAGCACCUCAGAACAUCAAGUCUUGUUCCAAGGAAUGUGUAUGGAAGAGUUAAAGAAAAGGAACACAUCAUGAAAUUGAUGAUGACAGAAGGCAGAUCUGACAAAGUAAUUGUUGUGCCUAUUGUAGGCAUUGCAGGUAUUGGAAAGACAACUCUCACUCAACUUGUGUACAACGAUCCAGAAGUGGAAAGGCAAUUUGAACAUAGGAUAUGGGUUUGGGUGUCUCGCAACUUUGAUGAAAUGAGGCUCACAAGGGAUAUGCUGAGCUUUGUUUCUCAAGAAAGUCAUGAAGGAAUAGGCUGCUUUGGGAAGCUUCAGGAGAUCCUGAGAAGUCAUGUCAAAUCAAAGAGGGUUUUACUUAUUUUAGAUGAUGUAUGGUAUGACAAGAAAGAUGCCCGAUGGAACCAACUAUUGGCUCCCUUUAAGCCUCAUAGUGCCAAUGGCAAUGUGAUUCUUGUGACAACUAGAAAAAUGACCGUUGCAAAAAUGAUUGGAACAGUGGUGCCAAUUAAGUUAGCUACUAUUGAAAAUGAUGACUUUUGGUUAUUAUUCAAAUCAUGUGCUUUUGUUGAUGGAAACUAUGAAUGUCUUGGAAAUCUUAGCACUAUUGGACGGCAAAUAGCAGAAAAGUUAAAGGGUAACCCGUUAGCAGCAGUGACUACAGGGGCACUAUUAAGGAACCAACUUACCGUUGAUCAUUGGAGUAAAAUUCUCAAGGAAGAAAAUUGGAAAUCAUUAGGACUUAGUGGAGGCAUCAUGCCUGCUUUGAAGCUUAGUUAUGAUGAGUUGACAUACCGUUUACAACAAUGUUUCUUGUAUUGUUCUAUAUUUCCUGACAAAUAUAGGUUUCUUGGUAAGGAUUUGGUAUAUAUGUGGAUUUCUCAGGGAUUUGUGAAUUGCACCCAAAAUAAGAGAUUGGAGGAGAUAGGAUUGGAAUAUCUGAAUCAUUUGGUAAACCUGGGAUUCUUUCAGCAAAUUGAAGAACAGCAAGAAUUGGAUGAGGAAAAAGAAUUCUCUCUACGCGGUCAGAUUUGGUAUUCUAUGUGUGAUCUCAUGCAUGAUUUUGCGAGGAUGGUUUCGGUGACUGAAUAUGCGAGGAUAGAUGGUCUGCAGUGUAAGAAAAUCUUACCGACUAUACACUAUUUGUCAAUAGUAACUGGUUCUGCAUACAACAGAGAUCUGCAUGGGAAUAUUCCUCGCAAUGAGAAGUUUGAAGAAAAUCUGAGAAAUUCUGUUACAUCAGUUACCAAAUUGAGAACACUGGUUGUACUUGGGAGCUUUGACUAUUUCUUUGUACAGUUGUUCCAAGAUAUAUUUCAAAAGGCCCAAAAUUUACGCCUGCUGCGAGUAUCUCCAGAAUCCACUUAUCUGUUUCAAGUGCCUGCAGCAUCCACUGAUUUUAAUUCCUUCCUGUGCAGUUUGGCAAAUCCUUUGCAUCUUCGUUAUCUAAAACUUGAUUUAGACGGGAUUGUGCCACAAGUUCUCAGUACUUUUCUUCUUCUUCAAGUAUUAGAUGUUGGCUCAAACAGGGAUACUUCUCUACCCAAUAGCUUGCAUAAUCUUGUUAGCCUGCGACAUCUUGUUGCACACAAGAGAGUCCAUUCUUCCAUUGCUAGCAUUGGCAACAUGACAUCUAUCCAGGAGCUACAUGAUUUUGAGGUUCGAAUUUCUAGCGGCUUUGAGAUUACACAACUCAAAUCCAUGAACAAGCUUGUUCAACUUGGAGUGUCUCAACUUGACAGUGUUAAAACCCGGGAGGAGGCUUAUGGGGCAGGACUAAGAAACAAGGAACACUUAGAAGAGCUUCACUUGUGUUGGAAGCAUGCAUUUUCAGUGGAUAAGGAUGUCAGUGACACUAGAUUUGAAUCUUCUGCAGACAUGGCCAGAGAAGUGAUUGAGGGUCUUGAACCACACAUGGAUCUAAAACAUCUACAAAUAUCUCGGUAUAAUGGUACCACUUCACCGACUUGGCUUGCCAAUAAUAUCUCAGUUACCUCACUGCAGACGCUUCAUCUUGAUGAUUGUGGAGGAUGGAGAAUACUUCCAUCUCUGGGAAGUCUUCCAUUUCUUACAAAGUUGAAGUUGAGCAACAUGUGGGAAGUAACAGAAGUAUUGGUUCCUUCACUGGAGGAGCUAAUUUUACUCAACAUGCCCAAGUUAGUGAGAUGCUCAAGUACUUCUGUGGGGGCUCUGAACUUUAGUUUACGAGCACUGCGGAUCGAGGAUUGUGAAGCACUGAAGGAGUUAGAUCUGUUUGAGAACGAUGAUAAUUCUGAAAUCAUUCAGGGGUCAUGGCUGCCUGGUCUUAGGAAUUUGAUUGUGAAAUAUUGCCCUCAUUUGAAAGUGUUGAAGCCACUUCCACCUUCAGCUACCUUUUCUAAGGUACUCAUCAAAGUGGUUUCAAGAUUUCCGUCUAUGAAGGUAUCAUCGGGUGAAAAGUUAGAAAUUUGGGAUGCUAAUUACCGCAGAGGCGAUCGAUCUUGUGAUGAGUUGAUCAUACUGGAUGACAAAAUUUUGGUGUUCCAUAAUCUUAGAAACCUCAAAUCGAUGGAGAUAUUUGGUUGCAGAAAUCUAAGGUCUUUCUCGUUUGAAGGUUUCAGUCAUCUCGUCUCUUUAACGAGCUUGAAAAUAAGAGGCUGUGAAAAACUUUUCUCUUCACAUGAGAUGCCAGCCAUUGAACAUGUGACAGCUGUGAACUGCGAUUCUUUCCCAUCUCUUAAAAGUCUCAGUAUUAAGUCAUGUGGAAUAGCGGGGAAGUGGCUAUCGUUGAUGCUGCAGCAUGCGCCAGGCCUAGAGAAAUUGAGUUUAAGAUAUUGCGCACAUAUAACAACAGUACUGUUACCGAUGGAAGAGGAAGAAAACAAUCUAUUAACAACAGUACUGUCAUCAGGAAAUCAAGAUGAGGCAUUGACCUGGUUAGCUCGAGAGGGACUCUUGCACAUUCCAUCAAAUCUCGUCUCCUCUCUCAAGAAUAUGAGUAUUAGUGAGUGCCCUCGUCUAAAAUUUAACUGGGGCACGGACUGCUUCUCUGGAUUUAUCUCGCUUGAGAAGCUUGAAAUCUGGGGAUCGUUGGUGGAUGAUGACGGAAGUUAUGACCCCGAGAAUGGAAGUUCUUUUGUGUUCGAAGAGGAGGAUCAACCCCUGGGGGCGAACGGAAGAUGGCUCCUCCCGACAUCACUUCAGGAACUUAACAUCAGGUUCUUGUGUUACCAAGAAACGCUGCAACCCUGCUUUACUAGAGAUAUCACCAGCCUUAAAAAGUUAUAUGUAAGCUUCAGCCCAGGUUUGCAAUCUCUACAGCUGCACUCAUGCACGGCACUGGAAGAAUUGGCAAUUGUCGGCUGUGGAUCAGUCACCGUCACUGUACUAGAAGACUCUCCUGGCUUGCUGCCAUGUUUGGAAAGGCUUUGCAUCAAUGACCCAUCUGUCCUUACCACGUCAUUCUGCAAGCACCUCACCUCCCUGCAACGCCUACGACUUGGUUUCUUGAAAGUGAGGAGACUAACAGAUGAGCAAGAGCAAGCGCUUGUGCUGCUCAAAUCCCUGAAAGAGUUCCAAUUCUAUUUGUGUAAUGAUCUCGUAAAUCUUCCUGCUGGGCUGCACACCCUUCCUUCCCUCAAGAGGUUGGAGAUAGAACGGUGUGGACGCAUCUCAAGGCUGCCAGAAGCAGGCCUCCCACAUUCGCUGGAAGAACUGAAAAUCGAGUCUUGCAGCCAGGAGCUAUAUGAUGAAUGCAGGCAGCUAGCAACAAGCAAACUGAAAGUCAAAAUUGGUGGGAGAUAUGAGAAUUAA
rnacentral:rRNA from 1 species